UACGUAGGGUGCGAGCGUGUCCGGAAUUAUUGGGCGUAAAGAGCUCGUAGGCGGUUUGUCACGUCUGCUGUGAAAUCCCGAGGCUCAACCUCGGGCCGCAGUGGGUACGGGCAGACUGGAGUGCGGUAGGGGAGAAUGAAUUCCUGGUGUAGCGGUGGAAUGCGCAGAUAUCAGGAGGAACACCGAUGGCGAAGGCAGGUCACUGGGCCGCAACUGACGCUGAGGAGCGAAAGCAUGGGGAGCGAACAGG
rnacentral:rRNA from 1 species